UUGGAAUCAGCGCCACCCAGAGCUGUUGGUCUGAACUUGGGAAUUCUUCACCCCUGCGUGGGUCAGUGAGUUCUGAGUUGCUCAAAGCCACCCCAUUGGUCUAACAGGGCUCAGGAUCAAAUGCCUGGGGAGACCACCCAUAGAAGGGGGCCAGCCUGCCCUAAAUCAGAUGCUCCUGGGGAAGAAUUAUCCUUGACAAUCCAGAGAGUGAUGGGCUCAGAAGACAUGGUCUUCUUGGAACCACGCUCUCUUGCUCUCCUCACUGCAUGUAGCAAGUUGUCCGUGUGUGCCCGGUUGAUAAGGACUGGGGACUCCCUGGGCCUCUCAGGGAGACACACGGCCCCUCCGUGAUGGGGAAUGGGAGACGCAGCUCUGCGGAGCCCACACCAAAGCUUUCUCUCAGCCGGUCCUGCCUGCCGUGGCCUUUCUGCAGUGGAGACAGCGGUGCUGCUGGUCAGGCCUGCCCCAGGCAGCCUGGGAAGUCUCCCGACUUAGAUCGCCAAAGACCCGGGAACACGGGAGGAGAUCGGGCAGCAGCAGAACUACCGAGGAGAGGCAGGAAGAGGACCCAAAGGGGAAGAGGCGCAGCAGUGCCCAGAGAUGCUGGAGGCACCUCGGAAACCACGUCAGGCAAGACCUCGGCAUUGCUCCCACCCUGCCACAGAAAGCAGGGAAUCAGCCCACAGACUAAGAGGGGAGAGGACCCAAGACCCAGUGCCAGGAGGCUUUUCCUCUGCCAGGCUCCUCUACCAAGCCAGCACCAGUUUGCAGAAUCCUGGCUGCAUCACCUUCCUCCUUUCGACCUUGAACUGGCUUUGCAAAUCCACUGAGCCUCAGCCUCCCCAUCCAGGAAACGGGUUGACUGUGACCCCAGCUGAUCAUUGUGACCAUGAAGGUAAAUUAGCUCACACUCCAUACCCAGCCCGGAAGCUGUUCCACGCCGUCUGGUUGAUUUCAAAGCUUCUAGUGAUUACCAGCUGAAACCACCUCAUUCUGCACAAAUCACACUGGCUUUUCCAGGUCUUUACGGGAAGGAAAUAGGCUAAUGCAUUGCUUUCCCAUGUAUGUCAGGAGCCCAGUCUCUCUCUAAUGGGCUCAAAUUGCAGUUUUAAAACCUAAACUAUGAACUUAAACUCUCCCACAGACAUACACAGCAGAGACAUCCU
rnacentral:lncRNA from 1 species